CAGCAAUGAGGCAGACUUUAACAAUGCUGAAGCAUUGUUGAAGACUGAGGCAGUCCGUCUAAAGAUGAUUGCCCGCUUGGCCUUGGUGGGAGGCACUUCCUCUGAGUCUAUGGUUCGGAGGAUGCUUGGAACAGCACUUACCAAUGGCCUGGCCUGCAGCUACAGUUGGGCUGGCAAGAAUAACAAAAAGGCUUUUAAAGAAACCGUGCUACAGGAGUGCAUGUUUGCUGCUGCUCGGCAGAGUGACCGGCGGCUUACCCAGCAGGCCUUCAGCGAAUUAGUGAAAAAUUGGCUUCGGUACGCCCCUUGGCGUGUCGGGGGAAAGAAAAGGAA